rnacentral:tRNA from 1 species
GCCCAUGUGGCUCAAUGGUAGAGCAUCGGCCCGCACACCGAAGGGUCACGGGUUCAAUUCCCAGUCAAGGGUG